UGCCAGACUCCUACGGGAGGCAGCAGUGGGGAAUAUUGGACAAUGGGGGGAACCCUGAUCCAGCGACGCCGCGUGAGUGAAGAAGUAUUUCGGUAUGUAAAGCUCUAUCAGCAGGGAAGAAAGAAAUGACGGUACCUGACCAAGAAGCUCCGGCUAAAUACGUGCCAGCAGCCGCGGUAAUACGUAUGGUGCAAGCGUUGUCCGGAUUUACUGGGUGUAAAGGGGGCGCAGACGGCAGCGCAAGCCAGGAGUGAAAGCCCGGGGCCCAACCCCGGGACUGCACUGGAAACUGCCGGGCUGGAGUGUCGGAGGGGCAGGCGGAAUUCCUAGUGUAGCGGUGAAAUGCGUAGAUAUUAGGAGGAACACCGGUGGCGAAGGCGGCCUGCUGGACGACGACUGACGCUGAGGCUCGAAAGCGUGGGGAGCAAACAGGAUUAGAUACCCCAGUA
rnacentral:rRNA from 1 species